AUUGAACGCUGGCGGCAUGCCUUACACAUGCAAGUCGAACGGUAACAGGUUAAGCUGACGAGUGGCGAACGGGUGAGUAAUGUAUCGGAACGUGCCCAGUCGUGGGGGAUAACUGCUCGAAAGAGCAGCUAAUACCGCAUACGGCCUGAGGGUGAAAGCGGGGGAUCGCAAGACCUCGCGCGAUUGGAGCGGCCGAUAUCAGAUUAGGUAGUUGGUGAGGUAAAGGCUCACCAAGCCGACGAUCUGUAGCUGGUCUGAGAGGACGACCAGCCACACUGGGACUGAGACACGGCCCAGACUCCUACGGGAGGCAGCAGUGGGGAAUUUUGGACAAUGGGCGCAAGCCUGAUCCAGCCAUGCCGCGUGCGGGAAGAAGGCCUUCGGGUUGUAAACCGCUUUUGUCAGGGAAGAAAAGGUUCUGGCUAAUACCUGGGACUCAUGACGGUACCUGAAGAAUAAGCACCGGCUAACUACGUG
rnacentral:rRNA from 1 species